rnacentral:misc_RNA from 1 species
GUCAAUGGGAAGGGGACCAAGGGCAUUUUUGGACAAUGGAUUUUCAAUGGCAUAAUUGCAAUUUUUAAACAAAUUAGGGGCAGCAAUAUAGUGGUGGCAUUUUUGCAAUUUUGCUGAAAACCAAGUGUAGGCUGCUGCGGUGGUAAAACUGUAAUUUUACCAAAAACUAAGAGUGAGCAAUCAGUACCCUUCUCCGCUCCCAAUCUGGUUCAUCGUGAACCAGAAGUAGCCAUGGAGGCCACCAGCGCCGCCGCACCAGAGCUGGCCCUCGCAGCGACCGUCCCACGCUGCUACAAGGCCGGCGAUGCGUAGGGAAUAAUCCGGCAGCCUUGCAGACUCCUCCAGCCUCCCAUGCGUGACCCUGAUGCGCGUAGAUUGGCAGCCUCGAUCUUCUACAUUUGACGCCGCUGGAUGCCACCAAACCAGUAAGGAGAACUGCUGGCCACCAGCUCGCAUUUGGGUAUGUCCAUUCACGCAGUUGGGCAGCCAGCAAUCCUUAUCGGCACUAGUUCUGUGGACGCUCAAAUGGGUUUC